AUUGAACGCUGGCGGCAUGCCUUACACAUGCAAGUCGAACGGCAGCACGGGGCAACCUGGUGGCGAGUGGCGAACGGGUGAGUAAUGUAUCGGAACGUACCAUUGAGUGGGGGAUAACGUAGCGAAAGUUACGCUAAUACCGCAUAUUCUCUCCGGAGGAAAGCGGGGGACCGCAAGGCCUCGCGCGAUUGGAGCUGCCGAUGUCGGAUUAGCUAGUUGGCGGGGUAAAAGCCCACCAAGGCGACGAUCCGUAGCUGGUUUGAGAGAACGACCAGCCACACUGGGACUGAGACACGGCCCAGACUCCUACGGGAGGCAGCAGUGGGGAAUUUUGGACAAUGGGCGCAAGCCUGAUCCAGCCAUGCCGCGUGUGUGAAGAAGGCCUUCGGGUUGUAAAGCACUUUCGGCCGGAACGAAAUCGCGCGGAUUAAUAACCCGCGUGGAUGACGGUACCGGAAGAAGAAGCACCGGCUAACUACGUGCCAGCAGCCGCAGUAA
rnacentral:rRNA from 1 species